rnacentral:tRNA from 1 species
AAAUAAGAAACAAAAUUUGUAUUUAGUUUCGACCUAACCCUUGGUAGCCGCCCUACCCUUAUUUA